AACAGUUUAAGACCACUCAGUGGUUAUUCCUACCUAUUCAGUGGUCCAAGCAGUGGGAGCCACAGACCAAUUUUCAGUGGGGAACUACUGAAUAGGUACAGAGGGCACCUGCACACCUUUGGACCAGUCUGCCACCUCAGGUUCAAUAGCAGUGAACUCCAGAACUAGAGAAGACCAUUCACCCUGAAAUUCCCUCUUGGUCACAGCGUUCUCAGCUGCCUCCUGCUCUUCCUUUUCUAUCUCUUCAGGAUCUCUGUAGAAGUAGAGAUCAGGCAUGACCUCCCAUGGGUGUUCACAGAAGAUGGUACCACAUAUGUGCGGAACUUCCCAGGUGAGUUCUGUACCAGGAGCGCCACCUGGGAAGCCACCUGGGAACUUCCACUUUCAGCAAUGAUAAACAGCUUAACAUAAGAGGCCUCUGUAGAGGCUGGUGGUCAGCCCUGGAGCCAGUAACCACCAGAAGUCUCGGUUCCUGGAAGGCUACCUGCAUCUGGUUAGUGAAUGCUCCAGGAGUAAAGUGGCCAGCAGUAGGAGUGGCUCCAGUGGCAGCAGCAUACUUCAGCCCAGCUCACUGGCCAGUAUUCCUGGAGAAUGUGACACUGACAUCAGCUGGGUUUUCAAUGUCAGCAAUGGCAGAAGCUGCCAACAGAAGCUUCUCCCAUGUUCUCUUCAGAUUUAUGAUGUAGAUGCCAUCAGUAUUCCUUUUAUAGAUGUACUGUUCCAUUUGGAAGUCAUAGUUGGUGCCACCUAAGUGGAUUCCUGCUGCAAGGAAUUUAAGGACAUCCUGUUCUUUCAUUUGCAGGACAUCAAGGGCUCUGGACAUUGUGAAAGUUUCCCUUUAAGUUGUGGUGGGAAUCCAGAACAAUGCCUUAUGGACCCCUUAUGCACAUUUUAAAAUAUGACAUUCCAAGCAAAGCCUUGGUAAUAUAACCAAGUUUCCAGUUGUGUCCUGUGACAGUAAAAACAGAUUCUUACUGAACUUAUGCAAAUAAGUAUCUUGCCAUAAAAUAAGACUAUUCACCAAGAGUUUCUGAAUUCUGGAGAGAUCAGGUGGGGAGAAUAAGAUAAAUGUUUCAUCUUUGUUUAUAAAGAUACAUGUCAGCAAAUUGCUGAUAACUUGGGAAAAGAGAUAAACAUUAUCUUUUUUUUCUUUAAAAAUAAUUACUGGUUUUGAAUGACAAAAUAUAAGAUGCAAGGGCAAUGUCUGUGA